UACGUAGGGGGCAAGCGUUAAUCGGAAUUACUGGGCGUAAAGCGUGCGCAGGCGGCGAUGUAAGUCCGGCGUGAAAUCCCCGGGCUUAACCUGGGAACUGCAUUUGUGACUGCAUCGCUGGAGUGCGGCAGAGGGGGAUGGAAUUCCGCGUGUAGCAGUGAAAUGCGUAGAUAUGCGGAGGAACACCGAUGGCGAAGGCAAUCCCCUGGGCCUGCACUGACGCUCAUGCACGAAAGCGUGGGGAGCAAACAGG
rnacentral:rRNA from 1 species